rnacentral:lncRNA from 1 species
CGGGAUUUCACCAUGUUGGCCAGGCUGGUCUCAAGCUCCUGACCUCAUGAUCUGCACACCUCAGCCACCCAAAGUGCUGGAAUUACAAGUGUGAGCCACCACGCCCAGCCUGAAACUGAUGUAUAAAGGCUUCCUGGGAGUGAAAUGGUUCUUUCAGAAUGGCUUUUGGAUGAUACAUAUAUCUCUGAUGACAUAGAGAAACAUGCACUGCCUCAGUUGGGAUUAGAGGAUCUGAGCAGUGGCUGGCCACUCCAAUCACCAUGCUGUGCUGCCUUCUUCCAAGCCCCAUCUCACCAGAUCAUAUGGUCACAGCAGAAGGUUUGGGCAAUUGUGAAUAUCACUGCUGUAAACAUUCAUGCACAGGUUUUUAUGUGAACAUAAGUUUUCAUUUCUCUGUGGAAGACAAAUAGGAACAGGAUUCCUAGUUCAUAUGAAAGGCAAACCACAAAAGACAAAAAGAGAAAGAAGGACCUCCAGAGUGGGAGAAUAACUCCUCGCCUGUCAGAACUUAAACGGAGUUCAUCUCAUCAAAUAAUGUUUCCUGAAUCGCUGAGAUCUUUCACAUGAAGAGUGGGUCGCUGUGAUGAGAAAAGAUGUUUAAAGGAGUCGUGGAGGAAAUCAGCUGUCAUUUCAUGGGUUGUAUUUUAAGAUCAAAGCUGAGCACCAUGAGAACACCAUUGUACCAGCUUGUUUGUCCAAAAGACAACAGAACUUCAAAGCCAUGAGGUGCCUGCCUUUCUUCCAAUCAAGUGGACUCUACUAGUCAUCCGUAGAGAUGCACAAGCUUGGAGCAUUUCCUUGUAUUUAAGCUGAGGAAAGGGAGAAUAUCCCCAGCCCCAUUUCAAGCUGUCAUCAUGAACAGUAGUGGAGGAGUGGAUUUGCCAAACAGCUGUCAGAGCUGACACCAGGCAGUGUCAGCAGUGGGGCUGGAGCUAACCCUUGGUGGAGCGACUUUCCUCUUGCUCAAUUCCUGGGUUCCCUCCUACUGUUCUGAACCAAUGACGCAGAUGGCAAGUGAAAC